UACGUAGGGUGCAAGCGUUAAUCGGAAUUACUGGGCGUAAAGCGUGCGCAGGCGGUUGUGUAAGACAGAUGUGAAAUCCCCGGGCUCAACCCGGGAACUGCAUUUGUGACUGCACGGCUGGAGUGCGGCAGAGGGGGAUGGAAUUCCGCGUGUAGCAGUGAAAUGCGUAGAUAUGCGGAGGAACACCGAUGGCGAAGGCAAUCCCCUGGGCCUGCACUGACGCUCAUGCACGAAAGCGUGGGGAGCAAACAGG
rnacentral:rRNA from 1 species